UAUGUGAUCGUCUCUCGCAUAUCAAUAAGCGGAGGAAAAGAAACUAACAAGGAUUCCCCUAGUAACGGCGAGUGAAGCGGGAAGAGCUCAAAUUUGAAUCUUAAAGGGUUUCCCUUUACGAAUUGUAGUUUAAAGAAGUGUUUUCUGUUGAGGUUUUGGUAAAAGUUCUUUGGAAUAGGACAUCAUAGAGGGUGAGAAUCCCGUAUUUGACCUUUACUUUCAACUUUGUGAUACACUUUCAAAGAGUCGGAUUGUUUGGGAAUGCAGUCCAAAAUGGGUGGUAAAUUUCAUCUAAAGCUAAAUAUUGGCGAGAGACCGAUAGCGAACAAGUACCGUGAGGGAAAGAUGAAAAGAACUUUGAAAAGAGAGUUAAACAGUACGUGAAAUUGUCAAAAGGGAAGCGUUUGACACCAGUGUUGUUUUUCUGAAAAUCAAUUAAAGAACUGUUUAUGCUAAGUUGUUUAGACUUUAUCAGCUAACUGUUUAGUUUUGAGCUUUUCUUUAAUGCACUUUUCAGUUAACAAGUCAAUAUCAAUUUCUUUUGCUGUAAAAAAGCUUGAGGAAGGUGGCUUGAGAUUCGUCUUAAGUGUUUAUAGCCUCUUGCCUAUGCAGUCGGAGAGAUUGAGGUCUGCAGCGUAGAUCCUUCGGGGCUAAAUGCAUUUGUGCUAAGUUAUAGCAUUUUAUAGACAACUUGUUGACUAUGAUUUGUCUUGUAGCUUACUCGCUUAUGUUAUUUUACCUACGCUUAGGAUGUUGACACACGCGCGUGCUCG
rnacentral:rRNA from 1 species